AUUGAACGCUGGCGGCAGGCCUAACACAUGCAAGUCGAGCGGGGUUUUCGGACCUAGCGGCGGACGGGUGAGUAAUGCGUAGGAAGCUACCCGAUAGAGGGGGAUACCAGUUGGAAACGACUGUUAAUACCGCAUAAUGUCUACGGACCAAAGUGUGGGACCUUCGGGCCACAUGCUAUCGGAUGCGCCUACGUGGGAGUAGCUAGUUGGUUGGGUAAUGGCUCACCAAGGCGACGAUCCCUAGCUGGUUUGAGGGGAUGAGCAGCCACAAUGGAACGGAGACACGGUCCAGACUCAUACGGGAGGCAGCAGUGGGGAAUAUUGGACAAUGGGCGCAAGCCUGAUCCAGCCAUGCCGCGUGUGUGAAGAAGGCCUUCGGGUUGUAAAGCACUUUCAGUAGGGAGGAAGGGUUAAGUGUUAAUAGUACUUAACUUUGACGUUGCCUACAGAAGAAGCACCGGCUAACUCUGUGCCAGCAGCCGCGGUAAUAC
rnacentral:rRNA from 1 species